GUAAUGUCUGGGAAACUGCCUGAUGGAGGGGGAUAACUACUGGAAACGGUAGCUAAUACCGCAUAACGUCGCAAGACCAAAGUGGGGGGACCUUCGGGCCUCAUGCCAUCAGAUGUGCCCAGAUGGGAUUAGCUAGUAGGUGGGGUAACGGCUCACCUAGGCGACGAUCCCUAGCUGGUCUGAGAGGAUGACCAGCCACACUGGAACUGAGACACGGUCCAG
rnacentral:rRNA from 1 species